UGAUUGCUGCCUUCACCUCCGUGGCAACUCACACAGCCUUAAGUGAAGAAUCAAGACACCUGCCUAGCCGUUGUUGUGAGGGCUCCUCCUCAGUGGAGCCUGCUGUCUUGUCUUGUCUUGUUUGGUUUUGAAUUGUUUUACCUUGUCUUAUCUUGUUUUAUUAAGUAGGCCUACCAUUUCCUGGUUCGCCUGGUUUUAUUUUAUUUUAUUUCUGAACUGUGGCGUGUGCCCACGCUUCUGUGAUCGGGCUGAAGCCAUUCUUUGCCUGAGUGUCGUGCCGGGGAUUUUAAAUUGCCCCCGUUGCUGGUCUUAGCCUGUGGGGAGCCAGACCAGCUCGCGAUUGAGGCUGGGACCAUUACUACCAGUACGAGUGGACCCGUGGGGCACAAGCCUUCCUGUGUGUGUGUGUGUGUGUGUGUGUGUGUGUGUGUGUGUGUGUGUGUGUGUGUGUGUGGUUUCUUUUAUUAAAGUGUGCUUUAGUUCUUUUUAUCAUCUGUAGCGAGCCUGACGCUCAGUGUCCUUUUAUUCUUUUAACAUAUUUUUCUGUGUUUUCUUUUAGUGAACGGAGGACGUACCAGUGGCCCUGGGACCUUAGGUGGUGGGUCGUUUUCACACUUUCUUUUGUACAGCACCGGGUGGGCUGCAGUGAUUUUCGUUUUGUGUGAUUUUCUUUUGGGUCCACGGCUGCUGUGAACGGAGGACGUACCAGUGGCCCUGGGACCUUAGGUGGUGGGUCGUUUUCACACUUUCUUUUGUACAGCACCGGGUGGGCUGCAGUGAUUUUCGUUUUGUGUGAUUUUCUUUUGGGUCCACGGCUGCUGGUAAGUCCAAGUUCCAUGUUUGUUUUAUUUUCACUUUAGGACACUGUCAACAAUGACGCUACAUCUUGGUUUCUAAAUAUUUUAUUUAUUUUUACUAUAAAUAAAACUGUUUUAAUAUUGGA